UACGUAGGGUGCAAGCGUUAAUCGGAAUUACUGGGCGUAAAGCGUGCGCAGGCGGUGAUGUAAGACAGAUGUGAAAUCCCGGGCUCAACCUGGGAACUGCAUUGUGACUGCAUCGCUGGAGUGCGGCAGAGGGGGAUGGAAUUCCGCGUGUAGCAGUGAAAUGCGUAGAUAUGCGGAGGAACACCGAUGGCGAAGGCAAUCCCCUGGGCCUGCACUGACGCUCAUGCACGAAAGCGUGGGAGCAACAGG
rnacentral:rRNA from 1 species